UCCGGUUUGUCACCGGCAGUCUCCUUAGAGUGCCCAUCUUUACAUGUUGGCAACUAACGAUAAGGGUUGCGCUCGUUGCGGGACUUAACCCAACACCUCACGGCACGAGCUGACGACAGCCAUGCAGCACCUGUGCAGCAGUCCCGAAGGAAAGACCCAUUUCUGGAUCGGUCUACUGCAUGUCAAGCCUGGGUAAGGUUCUUCGCGUUGCAUCGAAUUAAACCACAUGCUCCACUGCUUGUGCGGGUCCCCGUCAAUUCUUUUGAGUUUCAGCCUUGCGACUGUACUCCUCAGGCGGUAUACUUAACGCGUUAGCUCCGGCACAACUGGGGUUGAGUCCAGUUACACCAAGUAUACAUCGUUUACGGCAAGGACUAC
rnacentral:misc_RNA from 1 species